rnacentral:lncRNA from 1 species
AAAGGCUCUUGUGUGUUUUACGACGGAAGAAAAAAGGGUCGGGUGAACCGCGAACGCCCGCCUCUCCUUCCUUUAUACGCGGUCCCGGCAUACCUGUGCAUGCACGAGGAUGAGAACGCCUCCAUUUUAGGGCAGAGCACGUCAGCACGGCGCAGGAAACGAGCCGGACCGACGCCCGGAAACACCGACAAGUGGCAAGCCAGCCCACGUACACUCUGCCUGUGUCAAUGUCUCUCGGCAGUUCAGAGGGAGACUGUCAGGUUUCCGGUUCCGGAUGCUGGCGAGCGCUGAGGCGCGGUUCUCCGGGACAUGGAGCGCGACCGUAGACAUGAAAGCACUGGGAGAGAUAUGUUGUCCAGGAGAGACUCAUGGAGCAGGGAAAGGUUGUAUUCUACGGCAGAAUGUCUUUGUGAAGGCUCAACACACGCAAAGGCAAGAGCGUUAUUGGGUGUAGCGAGGCACGGGUGUCGGAGUUAGAAUCCAGUGAAGCUCAGCCGCUGCUCAAUGUCUGAGGAGAGACAUGCUCGAGCACUGCCCUCAUCCAAUGAUGUUUAAAGCGGAUUCGGGAAUCAUCGGAACGCAAAAAGAGGGCGAAGCCGCGCGGAGAGUACCGGUGUGACUCUCCACAGCGUCGUCAGUCACGCGCACGAUCGUGGAAGGGGUUACGCGAGGGUUUCCAAACAUGUUCCGUCCCGGUGGCAGAACGACAUGUAUCGUGACGGGAAGAAAUCGUGCAAAUGAUCUUUCAGAGAGUGCGGAGGGCAGGCUAGCGAUUUCCGAACGACGUGCGGUGAGAACUUCUAAAAAUCAAGGAAGGGGAACAGCCCCAUGGAAGCUGUUCCGUUGGUUUUUUCGCCAUCAAAAGUCUUUCUG